rnacentral:rRNA from 1 species
CCUACGGGUGGCAGCAGUGGGGGAUAUUGCACAAUGGGGGAAACCCUGAUGGAGCAACGCCGCGUGCAGGAUGAAUGCCUUCGGGUUGUAAACUGCUUUUAUAAUCGAGAAAUAUGAUGGUAACUUAUGAAUAAGGAUCGUCUAACUACGUGCCAGCAGCCGCGGUCAUACGUAGGAUCCGAGCAUUAUCCGGAGUGACUGGGUGUAAAGAGUUGCGUAGGUGGCAUAGUAAGUAGCUAGUGAAAUCUGGUGGCUCAACCAUUCAGACUAUUAGCUAAACUGCUAAGCUCGAGACCGUUAGGGGUAACUGGAAUUUCUAGUGUAGGAGUGAAAUCCGUAGAUAUUAGAAGGAACACCGAUAGCGUAGGCAGGUUACUGGGACGGUUCUGACACUAAGGCACGAAAGCGUAGGGAGCAAACGGGAUUAGAUACCCUGGUAGUC